rnacentral:lncRNA from 10 species
GUGGUUGUACCGCGGCGCUGGGGGUUCCUCCCGGCGAGACUGGCGGGGCUGCGGCGGCUAGGAGAGUGGUGCGUAGGUGUUUCUGGGGGGGUCGUGGGCAGGAUGCAGGGCUCAGUAAAGUUUAGUGUCAGAACUUUGUUUGCGCUACCCCUAAUAUUUCCGUAGAGUAAUAGUUGUAUUAACUACUUUUCUUUUUUCUUCUGUCCUCCAUUUGUUUUGGGGGAGGGUGCGGAGGAAUAAGCCUGUGUCUAAGAUUGGCGCCUCUCUUCUCUAGCUGUUAACUCUGAGCAUUCCCUUUUGUAUAGGGUAUCGUGUUAAUUUUUACAUGCACCCAGAGCAGUCUGCCUUUUGGAAGAUACAUGGGAGACCCUACCGAAAGUAAUUACUUUUUUUUUACAGAGUGAAUAAAUUUGCGUGUCAUAAA